rnacentral:rRNA from 1 species
AUAGGAAAUUUAAGGGCGUAUGGUGGAUGCCUAGGUUCUAAAAGACGAUGAAGGACGUAGCUUGGCUGCGAUAAGCUUCGGGGAGGUGCCCAGCAACCUUUGAUCCGGAGAUUUCCGAAUGGGGAAACCCUCUUCGCAUUAUGCGGAGAAUGCAGGACUAGACGCCUGCAAGUGCACCCAGGGAAGUAAAACAUUUCAGUACCUGGAGGAAAAGAAAACAACCCCGCUUUCGGGCGGGGAAUAUUUCCUUAGUAGUGGCGAGCGAAAGGGAAAGAGCCCAAACCCAGCCCUACUCUCAAUGCGUGAUUAUUAUGGUAAUCGUGAAUUGAGAGUAGAGCUGGGGGUUGUAAGGCAGUAACUUCGUUUUUAAAACGAGAAGAGUCAAAAAAUUUUUUAUUAAUUGAAUGUGCUGGAAAGCACAAUCCUAGAGGGUAAUAAUCCCGUAAAUGAAAAUAAAAAAUCUCUUUUGUUACUGUUCUUGAGUACCUCGAGACACGAAUGGCUCGGGGGAAUCUGCCGGAACUAACCGGUAAGGCUAAAUACUUUUAGAGACCGAUAGUGAACAAGUACCGUGAGGGAAAGGUGAAAAGUAGCCCGAUGAGGGCGGUGAAAUAGACCUGAAACCAUAUGUCUACAAGGAGUCGGAGCGGGCAUCACAUUGCGUGUGAUGACAGCUGUCAGCGAUCAGCCGUCAGUUAUCAGGAAAAUUCUGAUAAGCUGAAAGCUAUAAACUGAAAGCUGGACAUCGUGCGUAGCGUGAUGUCCGCCACGGCGUGCCUAUUGAAGAAUGAGCCAACGAGUUCUAGCAUGCUGCGUGGUUAAUCCGUUUAGGCGGAGGAGCCGUAGGGAAACCGAGUGUUAAUAGCGCGCAAGUAGUAUGUUAGAGACCCGAAGCCAGGUGAGCUUGCCAUGAGCAGGGUGAACCCACGCGAAAGCGUGGGGGAAGCCCGAACCGUUGAGCCGUGCAAUACUCUCGGAUGACUUGUGGUAAGGAGUGAAAAGCUAAUCGAACCUGGUAAUAGCUGGUUCUCUCCGAAAGAGCUUUUGGGUUCGCGUCGCGUGUUCCCUCUAGGGGUAGAGCACUGGAAGGUUUAGACAGGGAGAAAUCUCGCUAAACCUAUCAAACUCCGAAUACUAGAGGUUAGAGCGUGGCAGUUAGACUGCGGGGGCUAAGCUCCGUCGGUCAAAAGGGAAACAGCCCAGAUCUCUAUUUAAGGUCCCUAAAUCAUAGCUAAGUGCACUUAAGGUGGUGAAGUUUCCUCGACACUGAGGAGGUUGGCUUAGAAGCAGCCAUCCUUUAAAGAAAGCGUAACAGCUCACUCAGUAAGAGACUCUGCGCCGCAGAUAAUCGGGGCUAAAGCUAUGUACCGAAACUGAGGAUUUUUGUCGUGUUCGCACGGCAGAAGUGGUAGGAGAGUAUUCGUAUCUGCUGUGAAGGUGAAGGGGUAACCCACACUGGAGUGAUGCGAAGUAAGAAUGUUGGCACAAGUAACCGCAAUGGGAGUGAGAAUCUCCCACGCCGAAAGAACAAGGUUUCCUUGGCGAUGUAGAUCAGCCAAGGGUUAGUCGGGCCUAAGGUAAUGGCGAAAGCCGCAGCCGAUGGACACAUGGUUAAUAUUCCAUGACCUUGAUGUGUUUCGAUGGAGUGACGGAGAUUAGUAGUCUUUGCGAUUUAUUGGAUUAUCGUUCUUGGUCAGAGGGUGUUUCCCAGGAAAAUCCGGGAGACUUAAGCCCCAAGACAGAGAAAAGUUAUGCCUUCGGGUAUGGCAAUUAAGACGAGCAGUCUUCCAAGAAAAACUUCUAAGAUUAAGCACAUUGAGACCGUACCAAAAACCAACACAGGUGUUCAGCUCGAGUAGAGUAAGGCGAACGAGUGAGAAAUCCCCAAGGAACUCGGCAAAAAAGCAGCCGUAACUUCGGAAUAAGGCUUCCCCGUGGAAUAAAGAAUCGGAAUGUAGGUGGUGUGUGUUGAGUCAUUAUUGGACUUGAUUAUCAUAUCUACCUGUCGGAUUUUUUAUUCCACGGGGCGCAGCUAAAGUAUCUCUGGCAACUGUUUAUCAAAAACACAGCUCCCUGCGAACUCGCAAGAGGAUGUAUAGGGGGUGACACCUGACCGAUGCCAGAAGGUCAAACGUUGGGGGUCCAUAUGUCUUCGGAUAUGUGGGCUGACUGAUGUAAGCCCUGGUGAAUGUCGGCCGUAACUAUAGACAUGACCGUUGUAGUUACGUUAAAAAAUCUUGCUAUAUGCUGGAAAACCCGCUCCAUUAAAACAAAAGAUGGAGAAAAAGUAACAUAUAUUACGAGCACAUGUCGAUGUGUCGUGACAAUAUAUAUGUGCGGAUAAUCAGCAGGAAAGACUUCUGAUCUAACAAAAUAUGUUGAAAAAAAUUCCUGUUGAUAUAGGAAACUAUAUUACGGGGUUUGUAGACGGAGAAGGAAGCUUCAAUGUCUCAAUCAAAAAAAGGUUAGAUUAUAAAGAAAGUUGGAAAUUGACCGCUAGUUUCAAUAUUUCCCAAAAGGAUAGGGUUAUCCUAGCUUGGAUAAAACACAUUUUGGGAUGUGGAACACUGCGGGAGAGAAAAGACGGCGUCGUGUACUACGAAGUAACAAAUAUUACUUCGCUUCAUGAUGUCGUGGUUCCAUUUUUCAGAACGUAUGGGUUUCGCUCUGCGUACAAAAAAAAUAAUUUCAGGAUUUUUUCUGAAAUAGUUUCAAUUAUGUAUUCAGGGAAACACAAUACGAAAGAGGAGUUUCAGAAAGUACUGGAGUUAAGAGAAAAACUUAAUCCAGGAAUUGGAAGAAAACGAAAAUACACAUUAUCCAAUGUAGUAACCUCAGAAGAAUCCUCAGAGACUAUACGCAAGACGGUUUCAAAUCAAUAAUUGGAGUCGACGAUUUGGAAACGAUGAUAUAGUCCGAUCUUAUUGGUAACAAUAAGCUAACACGUGAGAAAUA